CACUUUGAAAGAAGAGAUGGAGUAAAUGUAGGCUGUGUAGCUGGAAAUACAGUCUGAAAGACAGACACUGAUGCCAUUUCUGCCAUACAUAGUGGGAAGGAUGGAGGUACCAACUACUGGUUUGAGAGGUUUCUCACUUGGAAACACAGGAGUAGCCCAAGAAAUGCCUCAGAACACAAGAAAAAGGACAUGGAUGCUUUGAG